UACGGGGGGGGCAAGCGUUGUUCGGAAUUACUGGGCGUAAAGGGCUCGUAGGCGGCCAACUAAGUCAGACGUGAAAUCCCUCGGCUUAACCGGGGAACUGCAUCUGAUACUGGAUGGCUUGAGUUUGGGAGAGGGAUGCGGAAUUCCAGGUGUAGCGGUGAAAUGCGUAGAUAUCAGGAGGGACACCGGUGGCGAAGGCGGGUCUCUGGGCCGAUACUGACGCUGAGGAGCGAAAGCGUGGGGAGCGAACAGG
rnacentral:rRNA from 1 species